rnacentral:rRNA from 1 species
CCUACGGGAGGCAGCAGUGGGGGAUAUUGCACAAUGGGGGGAACCCUGAUGCAGCGACGCCGCGUGUGUGAAGAAGGACUUCGUUAUGUAAAGCUCUAUCAGCAGGGAGGAAUAAAUGACGGUACCUGAGUAAGAAGCCCCGGCUAACUACGUGCCAACAGCCGCGGUAAUACGGAGGGGGCAAGCGUUAUCCGGAUUUACUGGGUGUAAAGGGAGCGUAGACGGGGAUGCAAGCCAGAUGUGAAAGCCCAGGGCUCAACUGCGGUAGUGCAUUUGGUACUGUAUGGCUUGAGUGCAGGAGAGGCAGGUGGAAUUCCAAGUGUAGCGGUGAAAUGCGUAGAGAUUAGGAGGAACACCAGUGGCGAAGGCGGCCUGCUGGACUGUAACUGACGUUGAGGCUCGAAAGCGUGGGGAGCAAACAGGAUUAGAUACCCCGGUAGUC